ACCUACGAGGAGCGCCGCGUUCUGGAGGAGGGAGACGGAGGGAGACGGGAACCUCAGCGCGCACAGGGCGCCAAUCUGUCCGGGUGGCCGCGGGCGGGCGGCGAAGAAAAGUUCCCGGGAAGAGGGAACUUGUUGCUCUCGAGGGCGACUGCGUGGAACCGCCUGGGAGGCAGCGCCUUCCAGGGGCUCCAGAUUGGCCCUCUGGCUUCCCAGCCUCCCUCCGCCUUUCUCAACCCUGGGGAUAGAAGGAAGCGGGAGUGGGGUCCCCCAUUCCCCCCGCCUCUGGCUCACUUUCCACCACUUCCGAAUGGGAUGGACGGCAAAUCCGAGGAGAUCCGCUGGUCCAAACUCGGUCUGUGGCACCUAAAAGAUGAUACCAUUCCUGAAGAUCUUCACUGAGGGAGGCCUGGUGGAUCUCUAGCUGCACUCUUACUUUAAUGCCUGCUUACAUCAGAAAAACCAAAAUCCCAUACUGUCAAUAUAACAAGCACAGACCCAGCACAGGACAUGAUUAUCUCCAAGUCCAUAUCUUCAAAACUAGGGGCUGGUCAGUUAGCUUUCAUUAUGACAGAGAUAUCCCUGGUAUUUUGCUGCUAAAUUUUGGUACGGUGACCUCAGGAGGAGUCCAGAAGCCAGGCUGAAGACCAUGGCAUAAUCAACCUUGCUGUGCUAUGGCUUGCUUCUCCCGAAGAAUGUGAAAAAUAUAUGACUAUGAAAAUACUUUAAUAUUCUUGGCAGCAUAGCUAAGAAAUUGAAAACUUUCUGCUGUAAACAGCCUUGACUUUCCGGCUGCAGGAAGAGAAGAAAUGCUUCUGCGUUGUGGAAUAGGCAAAGCCACCCUCCUAGGCCUUGAAAUCUGGCAAUAGAUGGGAGACUAACGGUAAACUUCUCCAGAAUUCAAGGCUUCCCCACCUCUUUGCUACCCAUGCUUUUUCCUUUUAGAAUUCUGCUUUGAAGAAUCACAAAUUCAAUUGGGGCACUUUUUUUUUUCCCUUAAAAAACAACAGCAACAAUCUUUUGGCACUUCAAGUAUGAAAUCCUUAGGCACAGUGGGAUAAAGUCAGUUUUGCAAGUCCUUCGCUGUGCAUUCGAAAGAGCUGCUGGAAUUCAGCGGGCAGCUGAUGAGAUUCUUGCCACUUGGUGGUGAACUUGGUUCCCUUCUUGUCAAAAUAAUGGUAGGGGAGAUCUUCCCGAUUGUUUGGGUUGAAGCCAAAGGGCCAAAACCCGUACAGGUGGAUUUCAUCACAAAUAGCUGAUGCGAGGGUGUACAUCAAGAUGCCUGUGCUGAGUCGCUUGGGAGCCAAAUGCUUGUUUUUCCAGUACCUGUAAAAUAAGAAGCCAUAAAGUAUCAUUAUUUCCCAGAAAUCCUGUUCCACAUGCCUACAGCAUUCUCUCUGAGGGAUGCCUUGGUAGAGCAGGGCCUUUUCAGUGGUGGCAAUUCUAAGUUCCUCUACAGACAUAUCCACCCGACUCCUGGCUUCUAGCUGUUCAAUGAUUUUGUCAAGAUCACCAUGCUGGAAAUUGGGAUGCUGUUAUCAACCUAUUUUGUUGCUUAUAGUUCGUUUAUUCUUACUUUUUUGCUUGAUCUUGUUAGCCAUCUUAAGGAAUUCUUUUUUUAAUGGAAAGGUUAAAUAUUAGAAUCAGUAAAUAUCCCACUGUUUUAAUUGCAAGUUUAAAGCAGCCCAGUGAUUAUCAUCCAUGCUGGCUGAUAACACAAAGGAUCCCCACCCUAUUUAUUAGCUGAUGAUGCAUCUGAACAGAUUUCUGCCCCUGCGCUUCUUAUUUUUGUCCAUAGGGAAUUGAAAAUAUUAUAGAGUGAUGGGCUUUGGUUUCAUUUUGUUGGUUCUCAGUCUUUCCACUUUGGAAAGCAGAACUAAGAUACAUCAUUUUAAUAGAGUUAUUUCAGUGCUCCUGCAUGGUUUUCUUUAUUGUUUGAUGCAUUCAAUAAGCAUUUAAUUUUUUAAUUAAAUUCUUCUUGUGUGACACUUUUUCUAUGAGUUGUUUCAGAUGCCCUUUUCAUAUGAAGAAGCAUGGAAAAUCCAAUAAACAGAAUAAAUUAUUAUUAUUAUUAUUAUUAUACAGUGAAGGCAAAACUUUAUUCUUGCACUAGCAAAGAUGUUUAUCACCUAAGCUUUUUAUAAAGGAAACAGCUUGAUGAGUACGUAUGUAUGGAUAUAUUAAUAAUUUUUAUACUGCAGUUCGCUUUUGUAACUAAGCUAUAUUUGAUGUGUUUACAUUUUUUGUUGAUACUUUAUGUAUUUUUAAUCACCAUUUUAGCUUUGAAAAAAAUGUCAUUUUAAGUUUUACAAAUGAUCCUGGGAAGACUCUAUUCUGAAGGCUAGCAUAAACAUUUAAAAAAUUAAAUUAAAUUAAAUUAAAAUGAGAGCCAGUUUGGUGUAGUGCUUAAGGCACCAGGCUAGAAACUGGGAGACUAUGAAUUCCACCUUGGGCACGAAGCCAGCUGGGUGACCUUGGGCCAGCCUCUUUCUCUUAGCCCUAGGAAGGAGACAAUGGCAAACUACUUCUGAAAAACCUUGCCAAAAUAAUCUGCAGGGACUUGUUCAGUCAAUCUCUGAGAAUUGGACACAAUUGAAUGGAUUAAAAAAUAAAUAAAAUAAAUACCCUUUGGUUACCCUGCAAAUGACCUAAGCCAGAGAGUUAAUGAUGCACAAUAGCAAAUCGCACCUGUUAACAUGUUGCAUUAUAUUUCCUGGCCAAGCCAACUGGACUUUUAAUUGUCCUCGAUGCUCAAUAAAGAAGUCUACCAAAGUUCUUGUAAUAGUGGCUGAAGUAUGGAAGAAAAAAGCUGGAAUCCAGAGAAUAGCUCCAUCAAGCUUCUUCAAGCUUAAAAAAAAGUUAUUGCGAUCUUGAAUGGUCAAAAGAUUGUUGUAAUACUUCUCCAGAAUGCUAGGGUUAAAAGUGGUGAUGUUGGUUUUCCUCCCAACAUCUUUCUGGAAUGCUUCUGUUGGUGCAAAAUUGCAACGAAAAACAAAAUCGUAUUUGUCUAUUUCCUGUCCACAUUGACUGCCAAGAAGAAUUCCACUGUUUCCCACCACGGCGCAAAUAUUGUAGUGUUUGUUUUGAAUUGGCGAGACAUCUGGAAGCAGCAACCGGAAGCUAUUGCUAAUGGAGAAAACAUAUUUAUGGCUGGAAUAAUCAUAAUGCAUCAGCUGUCCAAUCCGAACCAUGUUCUUUGUCAAAGAAAAGUUUUUGAUCACAUCAACGUGCUGAAGGAUUUCUCGUCUAAAAACAAUAACAGAAAAACAGUUACAGUGAAUGGUCUCACCUGAAACAUCCAGUUCUUGGCCGUGUUUUGAAAUCUCUUAAGUUAAAAGACUAGUCUUAAAAAGAGACGUGGACCUCAAGCCUCUCAUAUAUUAGGUAUGGCAUACUGUAUGUAUGGAUUUGGGUGGUCUUUUUGAAAAUGGAUAAACUUUUAUCAUAAUGUGCAUUUAUAUUUUUUCAGAGUAGUUGAAUGAACCAUUAAUAGCAAGGCUGAGGAGCCUGAUUUUCAACUUGAUUAAACUUCAGCUUGAUUCUAACUGUAUUCCAUUUUAUUUUCUCCUGAUGAAAAAAAUAAAGCUGUUCAUUCGUC